UAGGGAAUCUUCGGCAAUGGACGAAAGUCUGACCGAGCAACGCCGCGUGAGUGAAGAAGGUUUUCGGAUCGUAAAACUCUGUUGUUAGAGAAGAACAAGGACGUUAGUAACUGAACGUCCCCUGACGGUAUCUAACCAGAAAGCCACGGCUAACUACGUGCCAGCAGCCGCGGUAAUACGUAGGUGGCAAGAGUUGUCCGGAUUUAUUGGGCGUAAAGCGAGCGCAGGCGGUUUCUUAAGUCUGAUGUGAAAGCCCCCGGCUCAACCGGGGAGGGUCAUUGGAAACUGGGAGACUUGAGUGCAGAAGAGGAGAGUGGAAUUCCAUGUGUAGCGGUGAAAUGCGUAGAUAUAUGGAGGAACACCAGUGGCGAAGGCGGCUCUCUGGUCUGUAACUGACGCUGAGGCUCGAAAGCGUGGGGAGCAAACAGG
rnacentral:rRNA from 1 species